GGGGGAAACCUGAUCCAGCGAUGCCGCGUGUGUGAAGAAGGCCUUCGGGUUGUAAAGCACUUUUGUUCGGGAAGAAAUCUGUCGGGUUAAUACCCUGGCGGGAUGACGGUACCGGAAGAAUAAGCACCGGCUAACUACGUGCCAGCAGCCGCGGUAAUACGUAGGGUGCGAGCGUUAAUCGGAAUUACUGGGCGUAAAGCGUGCGCAGGCGGUUUCGUAAGACAGAUGUGAAAGCCCCGGGCUUAACCUGGGAAUUGCAUUUGUGACUGCGAGACUAGAGUGCGUCAGAGGGAGGUGGAAUUCCGCGUGUAGCAGUGAAAUGCGUAGAGAUGCGGAGGAACACCGAUGGCGAAGGCAGCCUCCUGGGAUGACACUGACGCUCAUGCACGAAAGCGUGGGGAGCAAACAGGAUUAGAUACCCUGGUAGUCCACGCCCUAAACGAUGUCUACUAGUUGUCGGGGAUUCAUUUCCUUGGUAACGCAGCUAACGCGCGAAGUAGACCGCCUGGGGAGUACGGACGCAAGGUUAAAACUCAAACGAAUUGACGGGGAACCGGAACAAGCCGGUGGAUGAUGUGGAUUAC
rnacentral:rRNA from 1 species